GUAUGUAGCUGUUCCUAGAUGAGUUCAAUAUCUCAUAAAUACUCCAUGUAACCCGGUCACCAUUUUAUAACAUAUAAUUACACAAAGUUGUUUAUUAGGUUUAAUCACAGUUUAUCCAUACCUGACAUCCAGAGCCCAAGUGUUCCCUAUAUGUUGUGUAUUGGGUUGCGACCUCCCGCUCCGCCUUGUUUCUUCUUUGUUUGCCCUACCGUUUGUCAUAUAAAUACGAUGUUGUGUCAUACCCUCUUCCCUUUUGAUAUGUUCCACUGGGAAGAGGUCAGUUUAUUAUCUGUUGUAAUCCUUUUAUUUCUUGUGCCCGCAUCCUUAUUUUUACUUCUUCUGCAUAACUAAUGACUGUUGACACUCAUACAUGUACUGUUAUUAUGCUGUUAUGACAUUUGCCGGUGCUAAUUACUUAGCUUUGUUCCGACAACGAUGUAUGCUAACACACUAACAUGAUGUAUUUUUUUUAUAUAGAUUGGGCUUGAGGUCCCGCAGCACAUGCUAGGUGCUGAUUAUUGUUUCAUGUUGUCAGGGUUUUACUGGACAAUUCACUUAAUUGUCAAGAAAUCCUGGUUAUAUCUUUGAUAAGAUGGUUAUCCCAGUUACACCCGGCAAGGACAGAAUCUUCUACUUGAGAGGUUCUAUCAACAAAAACUCAGUUUAUAAUGCUUCAGGAGCCUUUGGAGAAUAGAGAUCUGACCUGAACCCAUCCCCCACACUCUCUGGAAUGCCAGAAAUGCUGCAGUUCUCCCUGAUCUACCAGCCUACCAGCCUAGCUGCCUUGGAGAUGCUGGAGAAAUCUUGGGCAGGAAAGCUACAGUACAGUCCAGGACAGAGCACUGCAGCAUGCUAAUGCCUGGAGAGGUUUGCUAGUGACAGCACAGACACCUGUUUGAAUGGUUGCUGGUAUAUUAUGUUUACUGAGUUGAUAUUUUGAGAAAUGUCAGCCACUGAGUGUCAAUCACAUUUCAUGAGAUUAAAAAAAUGUAUUCUAACCACAACUAAAGACAGGAAAAAAAACACAAUUAUACCUUGUUCAUUUGAAGGCCAGGGGAUCUUCUUGUUUCCCCCAUCGUGGAACAGGACUUAAAGGACUUCUCAGUUAUUUAUAGUCUGUCCAUUUUAGACUUACAGUAUGUUUGAGUGAACAAUUUAGAGCUGCAUUACAAAGGGCUCACUACCCACCUAUAAUAAAAGCAGCAUGGUUUUGAUUUUUCAUUUUAAAAGAAUUUAGUGUCACAUACUUUACUCAAUGCACACCUUGACGCAACAGGGAUGAAACCUCUGGUCAUGUUGUAAUAAAGCAAAAUGCCAUCUGCAAAUCAUAAUGCAUUCACCCUGCCUUCAUUACUUUUUUAUUUUAAAAAUCUCUUCUGAUCCCCAACUCAUUACUACUGAGCAAGUGUCCAGUAUAACUGAGCUCACUGUAGUGACAUAAUCAC